GAUGAACGCUGGCGGCGUGCCUAAUACAUGCAAGUCGAGCGAACGGACGAGAAGCUUGCUUCUCUGAUGUUAGCGGCGGACGGGUGAGUAACACGUGGAUAACCUUCCUAUAAGACUGGGAUAACUUCGGGAAACCGGAGCUAAUACCGGAUGAUAUUUUGAACCGCAUGGUUCAAAAGUGAAAGACGGUCUUGCUGUCACUUAUAGAUGGAUCCGCGCUGCAUUAGCUAGUUGGUAAGGUAACGGCUUACCAAGGCAACGAUGCAUAGCCGACCUGAGAGGGUGAUCGGCCACACGGGAACUGAGACACGGUCCAGACUCCUACGGGAGGCAGCAGUAGGGAAUCUUCCGCAAUGGGCGAAAGCCUGACGGAGCAACGCCGCGUGAGUGAUGAAGGUCUUCGGAUCGUAAAACUCUGUUAUUAGGGAAGAACAUAUGUGUAAGUAACUGUGCACAUCUUGACGGUACCUAAUCAGAAAGCCACGGCUAACUACGUG
rnacentral:rRNA from 1 species